AAUAGAUACCCGGGUAGUCCAUGCUGUAAACGAUGGAUGCUAGAUGUCGCGGGUAUUGACCCCUGCGGUGUCGACGCUAACGCAUUAAGCAUCCCGCCUGGGGAGUACGGCCGCAAGGUUAAAACUCAAAGGAAUUGACGGGGGCCCGCACAAGCGGCGGAGCAUGCGGAUUAAUUCGAUGCAACGCGAAGAACCUUACCAAGGCUUGACAUGAACCGGACCGGGCUGGAAACAGUCUUUCCCCUUGUGGGCUGGUUUACAGGUGGUGCAUGGUUGUCGUCAGCUCGUGUCGUGAGAUGUUGGGUUAAGUCCCGCAACGAGCGCAACCCUCGUUCUAUGUUGCCAGCACGUGAUGGUGGGGACUCAUAGGAGACUGCCGGGGUCAACUCGGAGGAAGGUGGGGACGACGUCAAAUCAUCAUGCCCCUUAUGUCUUGGGCUUCACGCAUGCUGCAAUGGCCGGUACAAAGGGUUGCGAUACUGUGAGGUGGAGCUAAUCCCAAAAAGCCGGUCUCAGUUCGGAUUGGGGUCUG
rnacentral:rRNA from 1 species